GGGGUGGGUACACCGAAAACACCCGAUCCUAUCCAUACCUUUCUUGUUCGGGAGCGCGUUCAUACUGUAGCCCUUACUCCUGCAAACACAGGAAAACAAGAAACCAAACCAAAGCAAUCGAAUCACAAAACCCUCAAAUUCACUUGCUAAUCACACUACUCACCAUAAACUUCAAACCCUAAUCCGUAUCCAUUCCGAUUAUACACCACAAUCGGUACAGUUUCACUGCAUGGCAUCACCAAAGAAACCUCUGCCGGACGAACGCCCACCGGCCGCGAUUCUCCAUCAGCCCGCCUCCCCUCGCUUCCCUUGCGGAACCCCCACCUCCGGUGCCCAACGCAAGAUCGCCAUCGCUGUCGAUCUCAGCGACGAGAGCGCCUUCGCUGUUAAAUGGGCUGUCCAGAACUAUCUCCGCCCCGGCGACGCCGUUAUCCUCCUACACGUACGCCCAACCUCCGUCCUAUAUGGUGCCGAUUGGGGCGCUAUCGACCUCUCCGUCGACACACCGGACGAGAAAUCGCAACAAAAACUCGAGGAUGAUUUCGACAAUUUCACCAGCAGUAAAGCAAACGACUUGGCGCAGCCUUUAGUGGAAGCUAAUAUUCCUUUCAAGAUUCAUAUUGUGAAGGAUCAUGACAUGAAGGAGAGGCUGUGCUUGGAGGUGGAGAGGCUAGGCUUGAGUGCGGUGAUAAUGGGGAGUAGAGGAUUCGGUGCGUCCAGGAGGAGUAGUAAAGGGAGGCUGGGCAGUGUGAGCGAUUAUUGUGUGCAUCACUGCGUUUGUCCUGUGGUCGUAGUGAGGUUUCCUGAUGAGAAAGAUGGGGCCGUUGCUAAUGUCAUCCGGGGUUCAGCAAAGGCGGUUGAUAAGGAUGUCUCAGGGCUGCAUACAGUUCCUGAGGAGGAAGAGCCGGUCUUUCUUGAUGCUUCUGAUAAGAAUGCAGAAAUUCUAAUUGCCUAGAGAAAGAUUGGUAUUUACUUAUUAACCACAUAAAGAGGAAGAAGAUCAGAGGUACACAAACUGGGUUGUGGAAACAAAUAUGAUCAUCUCCUGGUUAACAUGGGAAAUGAUUUGACUCUGCACAUUGGCAGAAGAUACAUAUGCCUGGAACCCAGCCCAGAUUAUAAAGGGUUCGUGAACUAUGUUGAGUUGAAAAAUCGUAAAUACAUCUCUCUUUUAUUGGAGCUAUGUACUUUGCUUGUAGGUGGGACUUAUAUGAAAUCAGUUCCGAACCUGAGACAAAGGUGAUGAUGAUUGAAUAAUAAGACAUGGAGAAGACUUCUUGAGCAACUAUUGGAGGGGGUGGGUUUUCCAGAGACUGUGAAAUGAUCAUCGCGGAAAUGUUGUUUGUGCCAUGUGAAAGAUUGUGUGCUUGUGUCGAGGUCUCUCUUUCUGUUUAUGCUUUGGCAGCUGUAUUUUCACCCUGUGAAGUUUGAAUGUUCAUCUUUGUUGAUGAGUUUCUUUCUUUUAUUUUAGAUCCCGAAUACAUCACACUGCUUUCAAUGUGCUGUAAGUUAUCUUUCAAAGUGUGAUGCAGACACUCGAAGUUUUAUUGCAUCUGAUGGAGAUUAUAUUUAAGCUGGCUCGCAUUUCUCUA